ACUACAAAGGUUCAUGUGCUAUAAAGUGCAGCUGGCAAGGCAUAUCACGUAGAACAGUCGUCCCUAAUUCUGGGAAUCGAGCAACAACGAGCAGUGAUGACCCGACAGUAAUUGUUAUAAGAAAUAGAGGCAUAAUAAUAGCAACUUUUGAAUGUUUUGUAAGAUCUGGAAGUUUCGUUGUUCUUCGACGUGAAAUCCAAGGAAACAACACACAUUCGCAAUACCAAUGUAGAAAAGAUGAGAGAGAUGAUAAACCUUUUUUUGCCGAAACAUUGAUCGUAUCACCCUGGAAAACAUUCCGUGAUUAUCCACAUGUGUGUGACGUUUGUAUUGGUACUGAUCUGAAAA